rnacentral:rRNA from 1 species
UACAGAGGUCUCAAGCGUUGUUCGGAUUCAUUGGGCGUAAAGGGUGCGUAGGUGGCGGGGUAAGUCAGGUGUGAAAUCUCGGGGCUCAACCCCGAAACUGCACUUGAUACUGCCUUGCUCGAGUACUGGAGAGGAGAUUGGAAUUUACGGUGUAGCAGUGAAAUGCGUAGAUAUCGUAAGGAAGACUAGUGGCGAAGGCGAAUCUCUGGACAGUUACUGACACUGAGGCACGAAGGCCAGGGGAGCAAACAGG